rnacentral:rRNA from 1 species
AGUGAACGCUGGCGGUAGGCCUAACACAUGCAAGUCGAACGGCAGCACAGUAAGAGCUUGCUCUUACGGGUGGCGAGUGGCGGACGGGUGAGGAAUACAUCGGAAUCUACUUUUUCGUGGGGGAUAACGUAGGGAAACUUACGCUAAUACCGCAUACGACCUACGGGUGAAAGCAGGGGAUCUUCGGACCUUGCGCGAUUGAAUGAGCCGAUGUCGGAUUAGCUAGUUGGCGGGGUAAUGGCCAACCAUGGCGACGAUCCGUAGCUGGUCUGAGUGGAUGGUCGGCCGCCCUGGAACGGAGCCAGGGUCAAGACUCCUGCGGGACGCAGCAGUGGGGAAUAUUGGACAAUAGUCGCGAGCCUGGUCCAGCCAUACCGCGUGUGUGGAAGAAGCCCUCCGGUUGUGAUGACGUUUUGUUGGGAAAGAACAGCAGCAGGUUGUUACGCAGCGGUAGUGACGGUACCCAGUGAAUAAGCACCGGCUAACUUCGUG